rnacentral:rRNA from 1 species
CGCGAGGGUUCGGCCCUCGGCUGACGGCUCAGUAACACGCGGAUAAUCUGCCCUUAGGUGGAGGAUAAUCUCGGGAAACUGAGAAUAAUAUUCCAUAGAUUUAGGAUGCUGGAAUGCACUUAAAUUAAAAGCUUCGGCGCCUAAGGAUGAGUCUGCGGACUAUCAGGUUGUAGUCAGGGUAACGACCUGACUAGCCUACGACGGAUACGGGUUGUGAGAGCAAUAACCCGGAAAUGAUAUCUGAUACACGAUAUCAGGCCCUACGGGGCGCAGCAGGCGCGAAAACUUCGCAAUGUGCGAAAGCACGACGAGGGAAUCCCAAGUGCUGGCUCGUUAGAGUCAGCUGUUUUUAUGUCUAAAACGCAUAGAGAGUAAGGGCUGGGUAAGACGGGUGCCAGCCGCCGCGGUAAUACCUGCAGCUCUAGUGGUGGCCGCUAUUAUUGGGCCUAAAACGUCCGUAGCCUGUUUAUUAAAUGCCUAGGUAAAUUGUGUGGCUUAACCAUACGAAUUCUGGGUAGACUGGU